ensembl:lncRNA
CACCUUAAAAGUCAUCUGCAAUCUGGAACGUGACUCCAACAAUUCAUUGACACAGUUGUGACUGAUAUCUCGUACAGUGGAAACACUUGAGUGUCUGCGUCAUCCGCAUCAGCAAUAACUCAUCACUCCUACUCCAGAAUGCCAAAGAGAAAGAGGGCCCCAACUUUUGAUGACAUUGCCUCAGUUGUUGAAAGGCUAGGCCUCUCACCAGAGGAAGUUACAGCAGCGAGCUACCAUCAGGAAAAUUGAUUAUUUUCUUUGAUAGACCUUUCCAGUUCAAUGACUAACACCUUCAGCUAUCGCCGUCAACUCUACGAUGCAUGGAGUAAGGGAAGGAUGGCCAAUGCACAACCCCACUCUGUCUCCCAGAUUGCACCAUCACCACCCCAGGUCCUCCAAUCACUACCACAACAAGUAUACACCACACGCCUGCUAACAUCAGCACAAGCAGCUGAAAUGAUUGAAACGGUUGAUCCCACUAAGGUAUCCCACCUUCCACCACUCCACCCCAAGCCUGGAGACAUUUUUCUGUUUGCAGGUAGUUCCUUGUCAUGUGAGGACUGGAAAGCGGACCAAAAAAGAUGGAUUCAGAAGGGAUCCCACAGCCUUCCUCGCCGUUCACCAAAACUAAGGGUGCGGUACUAUGCAGGAAAGGAAGCACCAGGGUUCCAAAAAAGGUAGUAUGAGUUGCUUCACCAGCCUGAUACUCCUGUGCUAAUUCACUACUUUGGUGAGCAGGCACACUCCAAUGUCCCCCACCCCCACGGCAACAGCCAACAGCAGCAAGCAAGGAAUUUCAUCCGAUCGGCUACCUCAAUCAUAGAUGAAAUGUCCCGGCGAAAGACUGAAACACCUGGCAAAGUAUACUCAGACAUGAGUAACAACCCACCACCACCCCCAAAUGCAUCAUUCAUGCCAGUUUAACAACCUCACAACUUGGCACAAGUAAAGAACACAAUUCGUCGAGCAAGGGACGUCACUGUUUUGGACCGGGACGAGUUGGUGGCAACACAUAUGAUGGGUGACAUUCUCCCCGGAUUUGUCACCCAUAUGGAGACUCGACCCGCAACCCUUCUGGUAGUGGCAGCACCAGAAAUGGUUGAAGAGGCCAAGACAGUUACUAAAAGCAAACACAAACGGGCACAUUUUUCACUAUGACACCACGUUUGACCUCGGCAAUUUUUAUGUUUCACCCCUUGUUUUCCGUCAUGUUGCGUUUCAAGAGGCACCUGUCCUUCCCCUGGCAUUCCUCAUUCACACCACCCGGCACAUGGAAAACCACAAACAGUUCUUUCGCACCAUCCUUUCAUUCCUUCCCCAACUAUCAACAGCAAUCUUCUGCACAGACCGUGAGGCGGCUAUUGAGGGAGCAAUCCAGUCUGUGCUGCCGCAAGCCAGGAUUGUCAAUUGCUGGAACCACAUCUCCAACAAUGUGAAGCACAAGAUGGGGUCAGAGGGUGCCCAAGCUGUGGCCGAUUACCAGCAAAGAGCUCUUGGCAACGAAAUCAAGGAGUGACUACGAAUGCACACUGGCGAGGGUGUGUCUUCACUGGAGCCCUGAUUUCAAGGCUUAUUUCCAUCAGUCGCUCUCUGAUGCCAUGGACAAGAGCGCACAAUACGUGCUCAACAGCUUGGGCAUCCAGUCAGAUGGAAUAACCAACAACUGCUCAGAGAGCUUCAAUGCUGUCCUCAAGGCAUUGGUUGGAUGGAAGACGGUCAGAGUAGAUCAAUUGGUUUAUCUACUCUACCAACUCCAAACCAAUGCCUUGAGGGAGGUGCUGCGGGGCUACUGUAAUCUAGGGCAUUUCCACCUGAGUGCCAUGAGCAAUUUUCCAGGCGAAUGCCCACCACCAGUUUCCCCUACCACAUGUCAGAGGAAGACAUGGUGUCUUUUGCUGAAGGCAUCCAGUCCUGUGUGGCACAAGAAGAGGUUGUCAUGGCAGAAACUGGAGCGGAGGCCUCAGCCAGGAUGAUUGUGGCAAAAGGACGGAUCCUCCUGGUGCCAAGCACCAAAUCGUUCCUCUGUUGCCAACGGAGACGUGCUCCUGCUCUGCAUCUGACAGUGCCCAGAGGUGUGUCCACCGACUGGCAGCUGUACUGGCCAAUGGCGGAAGUGUGGACAGUCCUAUGCCAAUAAAGCUGAGGACAAGGCAUCUGGCUGCAAAACGCUCUGGCCAUAAGUGUGCCACCAAGGAGCAUGUCCAGACGGGCACCAAACAACAGGAAGAGCAAUCGACCGUUCAUCAACAGGGUGACCAAUUCCAACUGUCUCUGUCUGAGAAACACCCCAGCAGGGAUGACUAAUUGGAGAAUAGAGUGAAGCAACUGUGGGCAAUGUCGUCGGAUGGAAUGGACAGGGCAACCGCACAAUUUUUUUAGGAGGAAUCCGUUGCCAUCCUGCACCUCCAUGACUCUCCUUACAUUGAAGCUCAAUGAGUGGCUUAGUGGUGAGGUAAUUGACUUCUACCUCCAACUGAAGAGGGUUGACCUUCAAGUGGAGAGGGAUGUUUUUAUUGUGGAUCACUUUGUGGCAGGGAUUAUCCUGCAUGGGGAUAAGGUGGCGCUGCGCAAGAACACCUUGUCAAAGACCAAUCUGGAGCAGCACAGUUGCUUGAUUGGCGUUUGCAACGUGGGAAACUACCACUGGAUACUCUUGUAUGUCAAACGCAGGACACACUCUGCCAUUGUCCUGGACCCUACUGGUUCCCCUAACACAGAGCCAUAUGAGCGAGAACCUGGUGAAGCACAUCAGAUACUGGUUUGAUGAACGAACCCGCAGAACUGGGACAAUGUUUUCAGCAAUGUUCCCUGGCAGGCGGCGACAAUACCGCACACCAAGCAAAUCGACGGCUACAAUUGUGGAGUUUAUGUGCUGCUGGUG